rnacentral:tRNA from 1 species
CAAAGAAUAGUUUAUUAAGAAUAUUAAUUUUGGAGAUUAAAGGAAUAAAAUUAUUUGUUUUUUUGA